AUUGAACGCUGGCGGCAGGCCUAACACAUGCAAGUCGAACGGUAACAGGAAGCAGCUUGCUGCUUCGCUGACGAGUGGCGGACGGGUGAGUAAUGUCUGGGAAACUGCCUGAUGGAGGGGGAUAACUACUGGAAACGGUAGCUAAUACCGCAUAACGUCGCAAGACCAAAGAGGGGGACCUUAGGGCCUCUUGCCAUCGGAUGUGCCCAGAUGGGAUUAGCUAGUAGGUGGGGUAACGGCUCACCUAGGCGACGAUCCCUAGCUGGUCGGAGAGGAUGACCAGCCACACUGGAACUGAGACACGGUCCAGACUCCUACGGGAGGCAGCAGUGGGGAAUAUUGCACAAUGGGCGCAAGCCUGAUGCAGCCAUGCCGCGUGUAUGAAGAAGGCCUUCGGGUUGUAAAGUACUUUCAGCGGGGAGGAAGGGAGUAAAGUUAAUACCUUUGCUCAUUGACGUUACCCGCAGAAGAAGCACCGGCUAACUCCGUGC
rnacentral:rRNA from 1 species